GAUGAACGCUGGCGGCGUGCUUAACACAUGCAAGUCGAACGGAAAGGCUCCUGCUUGCAGGGGUACUCGAGUGGCGAACGGGUGAGUAACACGUGGGGGAUCUGCCCUGCACUUCGGGAUAAGCCUGGGAAACUGGGUCUAAUACCGGAUAGGACGAUGGUUUGGAUGCCAUUGUGGAAAGUUUUUUCGGUGUGGGAUGAGCUCGCGGCCUAUCAGCUUGUUGGUGGGGUAAUGGCCUACCAAGGCGUCGACGGGUAGCCGGCCUGAGAGGGUGUACGGCCACAUUGGGACUGAGGUACGGCCCAGACGCCUACGGGAGGCAGCAGUGGGGAAUAUUGCACAAUGGGGGCAAGCCUGAUGCAGCGACGCCGCGUGGGGGAUGACGGCCUUCGGGUUGUAAACUCCUUUCGCUAGGGACGAAGCGCAAGUGACGGUACCUGGAGAAGAAGCACCGGCUAACUACGUG
rnacentral:rRNA from 1 species